UUCCCCUUCGGGGGACAAAGUGACAGGUGGUGCAUGGUUGUCGUCAGCUCGUGUCGUGAGAUGUUGGGUUAAGUCCCGCAACGAGCGCAACCCUUAAGCUUAGUUGCCAUCAUUAAGUUGGGCACUCUAAGUUGACUGCCGGUGACAAACCGGAGGAAGGUGGGGAUGACGUCAAAUCAUCAUGCCCCUUAUGAUUUGGGCUACACACGUGCUACAAUGGACAAUACAAAGGGCAGCGAAACCGUGAGGUCAAGCAAAUCCCAUAAAGUUGUUCUCAGUUCGGAUUGUAGUCUGCAACUCGACUACAUGAAGCUGGAAUCGCUAGUAAUCGUAGAUCAUCAUGCUACGGUGAAUACGUUCCCGGGUCUUGUACACACCGCCCGUCACACCACGAGAGUUUGUAACACCCGAAGCCGGUGGAGUAACCUUUUAGGAGCUAGCCGUCGAAGGUGGGACAAAUGAUUGGGGUGAAGUCGUAACAAGGUAGCCGUAUCGGAAGGUGCGGCUGGAUCACCUCCUUU
rnacentral:rRNA from 1 species